rnacentral:tRNA from 1 species
GCCUUCGUGGUGUAGUGGUCAGCACACUCGUCGCGUAACCGAGAGGUCCGGGGUUCAACUCCCGGCGAAGGCG